rnacentral:rRNA from 1 species
AACGAACGCUGGUGGCGUGGAUAAGACAUGCAAGUCGAACGGGACUUUUCGUUGUAGCAAUACGAUGGAAAGUCUAGUGGCGAACGGGUGCUUAACACGUGGGCAACCUGCCAUGAAGUGGGGGAUAGCUCGCCGAAAGGCGAAUUAAUACCGCAUGUGAUUAGAGAGGACAUCCUUUCGAAAUUAAAGUCGGGGCAACCUGACGCUUCUUGUGGGGCCCGCGGCCUAUCAGCUAGUUGGUGAGGUAACGGCUCACCAAGGCUUUGACGGGUAGCUGGUCUGAGAGGACGGCCAGCCACACUGGGACUGAGACACGGCCCAGACACCUGCGGGUGGCAGCAGUCGGGAAUUUUGACAAUGGGGGAAACCCUGAUCGAGCGACGCCGCGUGGAGGAUGAAGGUCGUCGGAUUGUAAACUCCUGUCAUUGGGGAACAAUGCACAGAUAUUAACUGUAUCUGUGUUGAUAGUACCCGAAGAGGAAGAGACGGCUAACUCUGUGCCAGCAGCCGCGGUAA